GACGAACCGAGCGAACGUUGUUCGGAAUCACUGGGCUUAAAGGGCGCGUAGGCGGGCUGUCAAGUUUGGGGUGAAAUCCCGCGGCUCAACCGUGGAACUGCCUCAAAUACUGACGGUCUCGAGGGAAGUAGGGGCGAGCGGAACUGAUGGUGGAGCGGUGAAAUGCGUUGAUAUCAUCAGGAACUCCGGUGGCGAAGGCGGCUCGCUGGACCUUUUCUGACGCUGAGGCGCGAAAGCUAGGGGAGCAGACGGG
rnacentral:rRNA from 1 species